UACAGAGGUCUCAAGCGUUGUUCGGAUUCAUUGGGCGUAAAGGGUGCGUAGGCGGCGCGGUAAGUCGGGUGUGAAAUCUCGGAGCUUAACUCCGAAACUGCAUUCGAUACUGCCGUGCUUGAGGACUGGAGAGGAGACUGGAAUUUACGGUGUAGCGGUGAAAUGCGUAGAUAUCGUAAGGAAGACCAGUGGCGAAGGCGGGUCUCUGGCCCGUAAUUGACGCUGAGGCGCGAAAGCGUGGGGAGCAAACAGG
rnacentral:rRNA from 1 species